UCGACUGUAGCCUUCUCUCUUGUUUAUGUGUAGCUCUCGAAAGUACAUUGCGACAAACGCUGAGGACUUUGGCAUCAAUAUGGGGUGCUUUGUUUCAUAGUCAAGAGGGCGUUUAGCAGUCUACCUCCGACCCGAAUAAGCGAAAAAUUUCUACCGGAGUCUAAAUCCUGCUGGAUAAAUGGAGUCAGCGCUUGCAAGCCUGGCUGAAGAAGAUUACCUUUUUUAAUUUGGCAAACACUUCUGAAAAUUCAGAGCGCUGCACCAGCUCGAAUAACUUAAGCGUUGCGAAGUUUAACUCCUUAACACUUAAUUCCAAAGUACUGCGUUUCUCAGCUGAUCGAAAUAUGAAUCUGAAUAUGAAGGACACGAAUUUAUCUAAUGUUGUGUGAUUUCCGAGUCGGUCCAAAAAUAAGCACUCUCGAUUCUGCAUUUGGCAAGCAUUUCUUUAACGUGAGAGUAUUUGGCGUUCACCUCACACCGAAGGUCUUAGUUGAAUCGGAAUCAUUAAAAUUCACCGAUUUUUCAUAUUCGUUAGCAUCUGUAUUAUGCAGUGAGCAUAUCGUCGACAUAAAAGUCAUUGCAAACAACCUCUGCAUCUAUCGGGAUAAUGUCUUAAUGACGAACUCCUAGCUCCUGUAAGCACCGAAUUGCAAGAAAUGGUGCAGAAGCUGUGCCGUAGGUAACCGUGUUCAACCGAAAAACUUGAAGCUCAUCAGAUGGGCUUUCACGCCAACCAAUGAGUUGGGACCAGCGGUUUUUUUUCGGAUAUGCUCACUUGUAGAGCUGGAAAAAACAUCGAUGUUAACAUCGAUGUAUCGAUAUUUGGGCAAUAUCGAAAACAUCGAUGUUUUAUUUGCCAAUAUCGAUAAUCGGGUACUUUUUGGAAAUUCGACAGCAAACUAGCAGCAAGAAAAAUUUUUGGAAGUAGUGGUGUUGGCAAGAAGUGUGGAUGUAACGUGGAUGCAUACAAUGGAUAAAUAUCUACAAACACAAUUACAAAUGAGAAAUUAAAGGAAGUCCAAGGUGAUGAAAACCCACUAGGAGUUAUUCAAGAGGUGCCGACAAGGUGGAACAGUGCCUUCUUGAUGAUUGACCGGUUACUCAAGAUUAAUCAGUACAUUUCGGAAGUACUUCUUAACACCCUAAAAGCUCCAACGCCUAUUUCGGCAGAGGAAAUUAAAAUUUUAAAAGAGCUUGCGAAAAUAUUACGACCAUUUAAUGAUGCUACUGAAAUCGUAUCGGCUGAUAAAACCGUGAUUAUAUCGCUAAUAAUCCCAACAAUUUGUGAACUGAAGCAUAAAAUGAGUGCUAUUGCAGCUGAGCCAAUGUCAGGCAUAGCUACUGCCGUACAGACAUUAAUUAAUAGACGGCUGGCCGAACGUCUUUUUCCGUACGAAAAGCGAAAUAUUGCAACAAUUGCCACUUUAAUAGAUGCCCGAUUCAAAAAGGAAGGGUUUAAAUAGUGUUAAUGCCGAAGAAGGAAGAAAUUUGCAGAUAUUUAUCAAAACACCCACGGGAGUUGCCAACACUACACGAUUCAGCAAAAAAACUUAAAUUUGGAUUCUUAAAAGAAAAAAUUGCUGCUAAAGCACUUACAAAUCGGUCAGAUGCCAUAAUUGCGAUUAUGCAAUAUUUGGAAAAACCAAACGAAUCCGAGGAAUGCGACCCAUUAGAAUUUUGGAAGGCAAGCAGUGAAGAAUCAUUAAAAUCUGUAGCCAGGCAGAUAAUGUGUGUACCAGCCACAUCAUGUGCACUUUUAGUAAAGCUGGCCAAAUUAUUACUCAACGCCGAAGCUCCUUAAAAAGCGGAAUCGUAGAUAAGUUGAUAUUUCUCAACAAAAAUAUUGAUCUCAUAAAUAAAGAAUAAAUUAAAAUAA